GACGAACGCUGGCGGCGUGCUUAACACAUGCAAGUCGAACGGAAAGGCCCUGCUUUUGUGGGGUGCUCGAGUGGCGAACGGGUGAGUAACACGUGAUUAACCUGCCCUUGACUUUGGGAUAACUUCAGGAAACUGGGGCUAAUACCGGAUAGGAGCUCCUGCUGCAUGGUGGGUUUGGAAAGUUUCGGCGGUUGGGGAUGGACUCGCGGCUUAUCAGCUUGUUGGUGGGGUAGUGGCUUACCAAGGCUUUGACGGGUAGCCGGCCUGAGAGGGUGACCGGCCACAUUGGGACUGAGAUACGGCCCAGACUCCUACGGGAGGCAGCAGUGGGGAAUAUUGCACAAUGGGCGGAAGCCUGAUGCAGCAACGCCGCGUGCGGGAUGACGGCCUUCGGGUUGUAAACCGCUUUCGCCUGUGACGAAGCGUGAGUGACGGUAAUGGGUAAAGAAGCACCGGCUAACUACGUG
rnacentral:rRNA from 1 species